AGUGAACGCUGGCGGUAGGCCUAACACAUGCAAGUCGAACGGCAGCACAGUAAGAGCUUGCUCUUACGGGUGGCGAGUGGCGGACGGGUGAGGAAUACAUCGGAAUCUACUUUUUCGUGGGGGAUAACGUAGGGAAACUUACGCUAAUACCGCAUACGACCUACGGGUGAAAGCAGGGGAUCUUCGGACCUUGCGCGAUUGAAUGAGCCGAUGUCGGAUUAGCUAGUUGGCGGGGUAAAGGCCCACCAAGGCGACGAUCCGUAGCUGGUCUGAGAGGAUGAUAGGCGACACUGGAACUGAGACACGGUCCAGACUACUACGGGAGGCAGCAGUGGGGAAUAUUGGACAAUGGGCACAAGCCUGAUCCAGCCAUACCGCGUGGGUGAAGAAGGCCUUCGGGUUGUAAAGCCCUUUUGUUGGGAAAGAAAAGCAGCAGGUUAAUACCCCGCUGUUCUGACGGUACCCAAAGAAUAAGCACCGGCUAACUUCGUG
rnacentral:rRNA from 1 species